GCUCAUGUUAAAUUGAGCAUUAAGCAUGGCAUAACAGAAUUAGUUGUAAAUUGAAGCAACAGAGUUAUGCCACUGUUCAAUAGUUUUAUUUCGAAAUAACAAUAACAAAUCCAUGAAAAAAGGUAAAAUGCAGUAAUCCCAUCAACUAUAAACAGGAAAAAAUGGAACACGACACUGAACUACAACUGAAGGAGACGCCAAC
rnacentral:lncRNA from 1 species